CAAACAGUGAACAGAAGGUACAGUGUAGACAAGUGUAGUGAACGGUGAAGAGUGAACAGAAGGUACAGUGUAGACAAGUGUAGUGGAUGGUGAACAGUGAACAGAAGGUACAGUGUAGACAAGUGUAGUGAAUGGUGAACAGUGAACAGAAGGUACAGUGUAGACAAGUGUAGUGAAUGGUGAACAGUGAACAGAAGGCACAGUGUAGAGAAGUGUAGUGAAUGGUGAACAGUGAACAGAAGGUACAAUAUAGACAAGUGUAGUGAAUGGUGAACAGUGAACAGAAGGUACAAUGUAGAUAAGUGUAGUGAAUGGUGAACAGAAGGUACAAUGUAGAUAAGUGUAGUGAAUGGUGAACAGUGAACAGAAGAUACAGUGUAGAUAAGUGUAGUGAAUGGUGAACAGUGAACAGAAGGUACAGUGUAGACAAGUGUAGUGGAUGGUGAACAGUGAACAGAAGGUACAGUGUAGACAAGUG